CAAGGAAUWUUCGGCAAUGGGCGCAAGCCUGACCGAGCAACGCCGCGUGCGGGAUGACGGCCUUCGGGUUGUAAACCGCUUUUCGGGCGGGACGAUGAUGACGGUACCGCCAGAAGCAGCCCCGGCUAACUCUGUGCCAGCAGCCGCGGUAAGACAGAGGGGGCAAGCGUUGUCCGGAGUUACUGGGCGUAAAGGGCGCGGAGGCGGUCUGCGGCGUCGGCGCUGAAAGCGCCCCGCUUAACGGGGCGAGGCGCGCCGAUACGCGCAGGCUUGAGGCGAGCAGAGGGCGGCGGAAUUCCGGGUGGAGCGGUGAAAUGCGUAGAGAUCCGGAGGAACGCCAGUGGAGAAGUCGGCCGCCUGGGCUCGACCUGACGCUGCGGCGCGACAGCGUGGGGAGCAAACCGGAUUAGAUACCCGGGUAGUCCACGCCGUAAACGAUGCCGGCUCGGCGUUUGGCGCGCGCGAGCGCGCUGGGCGCCUUAGCUCACGCGGUAAGCCGGCCGCCUGGGGACUACGAGCGCAAGCUUA
rnacentral:rRNA from 1 species